CUGAAGUUCACCAUUAAAAGGGUUCAUCCAAGGAAAAUCAUGGAAUUAUUGGUUAUAAAGAUGAUUGUUGGCAUAUCCUAUGCAAUAUAUCUAAAUUGAAUAAUGGUACCAGAUAAAAUUAUAGAUGGGAAUGAAGCUUGUGUAUCAACCAUUAUCAUGUGUAAUCAAUAAACGAUUUAAUUCUCUUGAAUGAAAUGACAACUGUAUGGAUUUGGGACUGGCAGAGAUUUGGACUUUCCCUACCCACUACCCCUGAUAAUGUUAAAUGCUUCUACCACAAUUCAAGUUCAAAGCUCUGCCAGAUAAUAGAAACCAGCUGCUGGCUAAUGCCACCCAAUAAAUCCACAGAUUAGAAGUGUUUGGGAGACCUUUUUAAAAUGACCAGUACCAGUAAGAAGUUUAAUGAACGUAAAAAUAGGCUUACAUUAAAGGAAAACUGCAGUUUUAAUGGGUUUUGGUUGGGUGGGUCUUCAGAAGUUUAUAGGGUAACCACAGUAGUUAAAUUAGAAAUUGAAACUAUAAAAGUAGAAGGAAUUAUUCUUUUCUACAUAAUUUGGUGUUAACUGCAGUUUUCCUUUAUAUGGCACAAGAUUACACAACCAUCCUAUAGUAUUAAUUGUAUAGAAAAUGAUAUCUAAACUUUCGACAGUUAAUAUCCAACAAUUGUUAUUUGUACAUAGGUUAUUUUGAGCCUUGCCUUUACCCUCAUAAUUUCAGUGCCAUUGUACCUAGUAGCAUAGCGAUUUGUUUAUCAAUAGGAAUUGUAUAUUCCAUCCCAUGGGUGUGUGACUCGGAAGUUUGGGGAGGAGGGUGGUUGGAGGAGGGUGGGAGGUGGUGGUGGGUGGGAAAGCAUGGGUGAUAGUUCCAUGAUAUUGGCUGAGUUUGCAAUAGCAGGUGGAACCUUAACUAUUGAGGGAGUUUGCAGAUACCUCAGGAUUCGUGACAAUGCCUUUAAAGAUCCAGGAGAGAUGUUCAGCUACUAGGAACUGCUAGCAAGUAUAGCGCGAAUGGCUCCGAGCUCAGACACUCUGCAGCUGAGAGUAGACACUUGUGGUAUGUGGAGUACAGAUAAGCCAGGGACAGGCCACGACACGCUCCUUGAAAGCUAGGAGGGAGUGAAGUUUCAGUGAUCAUCGCAAGGAAGGAGGCAGACAAGAGUAAGGCACACCUGACUCUUAGGACUAGCAGUCAGAACCAGGAGGAAAGGUUUUAUUGCUAUGCUUGUAGGUAAGAACAGAUUUUACUUACAUCCAUAUAGUUACCUAAAAUCCAGUUUUGUUACAUUUUCCUUAAUAUAUUGAGCCAAAACUAGUCCAGUUAAGCUGCACUUGGUUUUUCUGGAGAUGAAUUGUUUUAAAUUGACACCCUACUGUUGGUGGCUCCCAAUUGAAGGAAGUGAGCACAUUAAUUACUACUAUCAUAAUAUAUUUUUGCCCUUUAAUUUUAUUUACCUUCCUUUGACCCAUUUCCUUAAAACAAUGGCUCAAAGUAAUGCAUUAGAAUCUUUUCCCCAAAUGGUGGGAGGAUGGGUGGACCAUUAAUGGGAGGUGGGAGGUUUAGCUUGAGAUGGGACUUGGUCUCAGAAAAGAGCUAGUUCUAAAGGUUCUUUACUUUUCUAGGGAGGAGUCUGCUACUACUACUGUCUUAUCAACUGUUUAAAAAAAAAAAAAGUUAAAAAAACCAGAAACUCAUCUGUCCAAGUUCAUGGCUAAAAGGAACAUCCUUGUGAGGACAACCUUUAUCUGAGCCACUGUACUUCAUUUUCACUGCCAUGCAGUUGACGUUAGCUGCUUGCAGCUCUAAUUGAUCAUUCUAUUUUGUGAAUGGGUUUUUAAAUAAAUAAUUUGCGUUUAACUUA